AGUUUAAUUUGAUUAAAAUUGAGAUAUGUAUAUAAAAUUUUUGUUUAAAGUAUUAUGUUGUUUGUUUUAGUAAUUGUUUAGAACUAAUAAUUGUUAGUAAGUAUUGUUAGAGAUUAAUUGAAAUAAUUUGAAAGGUAAAUUUAUUGGUUAGCAAUUUUUUUUUGUACCUUUUGUAUCAGGGAUUUAUGAUUUUAAUUAUUUAUUGUAUUUAUCCCGAAGGAUUUUGAUUUAUAUAUAUGUAAAGAUUAUUGUUGCAAUAUUUAUAUAUUUAAUAUAUGUAUGGUAGUUAAAAGUUAUUCGUAGAAUUAGAUUUCUGGUUGUUUAAGAAGUAAAUUUAAUUUAGAGAUGUUGUUGGUUGUAAAUUAUAUAUUUAAUUUAUACUAGAGUAUUUUAUUAAAUAUUAGGGGAUAAGCUCUAAUAUUAUUUUAUGAUUAUUUGAAUAUUAUAAGAAUUUAUUUAGGAUUAGAAGUUUCUAUUAUUUUUAAUUGUGUUAUAAUUUAAUAAUUUGGUGUUAAAAAUUUAUUUAUUAAUCUAAUGUUUUAUUAAACUUUUUAAAUAAAUGAUUUUAUUUAUAGUAAUUUUGUAAGUAUUAGUAAAAUAUAUGAAGUGUAGUUUAUUAUAAAUUUAUUGAAUAUUAUUUUAAGGAAUUCGGCAAAUGUAAUUUUCACCUGUUUAUCAAAAACAUGGCUUCAGUAGAAUUUAUUUAUGAGGUCAGGCCUGCCCACUGAAAUAUUUGAAUGGCCGCGGUAUUUUGACCGUGCAAAGGUAGCGUAAUCAUUUGUCUUUUAAUUGAAGGCUGGAAUGAAGGGUUUUAUGAAAAGUUAGCUGUCUUGGGAUAAUUUAUUGAAUUUGAUUUUUUAGUGAAAAAGCUCAAAUAAUUUUGGAGGACGAUAAGACCCUAUAGAUCUUUAUAGUAUGUAGUUUAAUUUUUAUUAGAAAAUAUUUAAUUUUAAUUUGUUAUAUUAUUGUGUUGGGGCGAUAGAAGAAUUUAAUUAACUUUUGUAAAAAAUUUAUUUUAGUAUAUAUAAUAGUGUUAGUUGAUCCUUUAAGAAGAUUUGAAGUCUAAGUUACCUUAGGGAUAACAGCGUAAUCUCUUUUGAGAGUUCUUAUCGAUAAAGGGGAUUGCGACCUCGAUGUUGGAUUAAAAUUUUCUUUUUAAUGUAGCAGUUAAUUAGGAUGGUCUGUUCGACCAUUAAAAUUUUACAUGAUCUGAGUUCAGACCGGUGAGAGCCAGGUUGGUUUCUAUCCUCAAAAAUUUUGUAUUUUAUUAGUACGAAAGGACCAUGAAGUAGAAAUAGUUUU
rnacentral:rRNA from 1 species